AUACUCUCAAUCUUAAGUCUUUUUUUACGAGAAGGCUUAGGGUUGGACUUGGAUGUUGCUGCGAUUUUAUCGCGGCUCGUCUCGAAAUGCAUUAGCUGGUCCACCUCGGUCUUAACAAACGGUGUGAUAAGAAACAUUCAUUUGUGACUGUAGCGCUGCUGUUAUAGACUGGUGAAAGGACUGCUUCUAAUCGUCUUAGGACAAAAUUUUCAUGUCAU
rnacentral:misc_RNA from 1 species